rnacentral:rRNA from 1 species
AAGCAACGCGAAGAACCUUACCAGGUCUUGACAUCUCCUGACCUCCCUAGAGAUAGGGCCUUCCCUUCGGGGACAGGAUGACAGGUGGUGCAUGGUUGUCGUCAGCUCGUGUCGUGAGAUGUUGGGUUAAGUCCCGCAACGAGCGCAACCCUUGUCCUUAGUUGCCAGCAUUCAGUUGGGCACUCUAAGGAGACUGCCGGCUAAAAGUCGGAGGAAGGUGGGGAUGACGUCAAAUCAUCAUGCCCCUUAUGACCUGGGCUACACACGUGCUACAAUGGAUGGUACAAAGGGUUGCGAAGCCGCGAGGUGAAGCUAAUCCCAUAAAGCCAUUCUCAGUUCGGAUUGCAGGCUGCAACUCGCCUGCAUGAAGCCGGAAUCGCUAGUAAUCGCAGAUCAGCAUGCUGCGGUGAAUACGUUCCCGGGUCUUGUACACACCGCCCGUCACACCACGAGAGUUUGUAACACCCGAAGUCGGUGGGGUAACCUUUUGGAGCCAGCCGCCGAAGGUGG